GGACGCGACAUAGCUCAGUGAUAGGGCCUCUGCUUUGCCUGCAGAGGGUCCCGGGUUCAAUUCCUGGUGUCUCCA